ACUGCUCAGUAACACGUGGACAACCUGCCCUCGGGUGGGGGAUAACCCCGGGAAACUGGGGCUAAUCCCCCAUAGGGGAUGGGUACUGGAAUGUCCCAUCUCCGAAAGCGCUUAGCGCCCGAGGAUGGGUCUGUGGCGGAUUAGGUUGUUGGUGGGGUAACGGCCCACCAAGCCGAAGAUCCGUACGGGCCAUGAGAGUGGGAGCCCGGAGAUGGACCCUGAGACACGGGUCCAGGCCCUACGGGGCGCAGCAGGCGCGAAACCUCCGCAAUGCGGGAAACCGCGACGGGGUCAGCCGGAGUGCUCGCGCAUCGCGCGGGCUGUCGGGGUGCCUAAAAAGCACCCCAUAGCAAGGGCCGGGCAAGGCCGGUGGCAGCCGCCGCGGUAAUACCGGCGGCCCGAGUGGCGGCCACUUUUAUUGGGCCUAAAGCGUCCGUAGCCGGGCUGGUAAGUCCUCCGGGAAAUCUGGUCGCUUAACGAUCAGACUGCCGGAGGAUACUGCCAGCCUAGGGACCGGGAGAGGCCGGGGGUAUUCCCGGGGUAGGGGUGAAAUCCUGUAAUCCCGGGAGGACCACCUGUGGCGAAGGCGCCCGGCUGGAACGGGUCCGACGGUGAGGGACGAAGGCCAGGGGAGCGAACCGUAUUAGAUACCCGGGUAGUCCUGGCUGUAAACGAUGCGGACUAGGUGUCACCGAAGCUACGAGCUUCGGUGGUGCCGGAGGGAAGCCGUUAAGUCCGCCGCCUGGGGAGUACGGCCGCAAGGCUGAAACUUAAAGGAAUUGGCGGGGGAG
rnacentral:rRNA from 1 species